UGUGCGGUGUGGCGUGCAGGGGGGCGGCCCGGGCGGCCAUGGCGGGUGUGUCGCUUGAGGCAGCCAUGUUAGGAGUGGCGGGAGCUGCACCAAUCCGCCUUUUCAGGGCCUGUGCUGGCUGCUGGCGGGGGGGGCUGCAGGCUUGUCCCCCCAUGGUCUUGCCCUACGGCACCUCUGGGGCUAGAGCUGCCAUCACAUCAGCAUCCAGCAGAGCCAACCCCUCCCCCUUCAAAAGCCGCAAAUCAACCCCGGACGCCUGGGUCCUGCUCCCAGACCGAGGGGGGGGAGGCCCACUGGGGAGAGGGCCCUACAGCCCAGCACCCUUCCGGCUGGGGUGCCCUCCGCCCUCAGGCAAGAGGCGCACGGCGCUGGAUCUUCAAACCAGAGCUGUGCCAACCCCGCACUUCCGCGCGCCACACCACAGCCUCCUGGGCGUCUCACCAAGCCGCAGGGCACGCCGGCCCUGCCCGGGCCCCGAGCAAACGCGAGGCAGCCUCAAGCCAGUUCCUGGGUAAAUGCCGCAACCCCCAGCCAGGCCCGGCCCAGCAUCGUGCUUCUCGAGCUCCAAAAAUCACACGCCCUUAGCUGGUGCGAGAAAUACAUCUUUUAUCCUCUGGGAUGGCCACCCACCUACUCAACCCUACAGCCGGCUCGUAUCUUUCACCAGCCCCCUGCAGACUCGAACAACCGUGCUUUCACGUGAGGGACCUGGAGUCCACUCAAGAGAGCAACAGCUACCCCAGAUGGGGCAACUGAGACACAGAAAGAAGUGACUUGCCCUGGGUCACCAGCAGGCCAGUGGCAGAGCUGAGAUUAAAAAGAAGGUCUCCCGAGUCCCAUCCUGUGGAAGUAAUUUCCUGUGUAACCUUUAACUCCUGCCAACCAUCUGUCUGAUUAACCCAGUGACUUAGUCCUAGGAGAGGGGAACUCCAAUUGCACCGCAUUGGUCUGGAGCAGUGGCCGUGGGAGUAGGAAUGUCUACUCACCACAGGAAGCAGCUUUGCACACGAAUGCAAGGCAACUUCCAAGAACAACAAGCAGUUGCAGAAGCACAAGGUUCAGGUGCAGACAGGGCUUUAAGUGGUUGCCUUAAGUGAUCCAUCUAUAAGCAGCCUUGGUUUAGUUCAAUAUAGUUUUAGAGGACACAUGCAUUGCUGAAGUUAACAUUUUAAAGCCUAAACUCCUACCCUUUUUAAAAGGUUGCAUUAGGAUGCCCAUAUUUUCAUCAUGGAAAAUGAGCUAUUAGUACCAGCAGGCCAGACUAACGCUGGGCCCUGCGGUUCUCAGCAUCCCACUCUGACCCCACACAGCAAAAUUCAUUGCAGUAGGCAUGAUGGUGAAACUGACAAAAUUGCUAUUCUCUGAAAUCACCAGAACAGGAUUCUUGUCAGUUUCAAUACCCUACAACCUCACAAGAACAGAGCAGAUAGAGAGGAGGCCUGGCAGUGCAGACAUGUGACUGCAACAGAGGUUCAUGAAGGGCUCCUUAGAUUUCAAACAGGACUGCAGUGAAUUAUCUCAUUAGAGAUUGUGAGAUAUAUACUUUGAGACAGCACAGUCUUAACCUGUUAACACUUUAGCAUUGUCUAUGGACAGAUCUCAGUGCUUUACAGAGGGUAAAGGUUAUCCCUGCUGUACAGCAGGUAAACUGAGGCACGUUAAGUACCAGACCUAAGAAUACAAACCAGAUCACCCAUCCCACUUUUUCUCCCCUAGCACAUUGCCCCUCUGUACAUUGCUCUUAGGCAAAAGAGGUCCAGGGAGUUGGUUAGAUUUGUAGAUUAAUUUGAACCGUUCUAUGUAAGACAAGACCAGGGAGAAAGGAAGUUUUGAGAUUUUGAACCCAUUGUCUUCAGGGAGCACCAAAAUGAAGGACCGAUUAGCACCUCGGCAUCUCAAAUCCAUACAGCACCCACUGAAAGCAGCCGAGCAGAAAGGACCCCAGGGAAGUUCAGGGAGGCUGGUCAUCAGCGAUGGUUUCAUAGAAAGUGACAGCUCAGUCCUCACCCAUGUGACAGUAAUGCAAAGCACAGGGCUUUUAGGCAUCUCAAGAAAGAUCUUAAAGGGACACUCAGGUUAAAUACAAAACUAGAUGGCAGUGGGUCAAAGGCAGAGCUAAACAGCAGAUUCCCUUGGGGGCCGGGGGGAGAAGGAGAAGAUGAUAACCUCAAAAGGAGGCUGGUUUUAAUUUGCUGGCCAUGGUAAUGAGCCCAAUACACAGGAUGUUAAAAAUUCUUAUGUGGUAUUAUAACAAAGCCCAAUGACAGAUCCUCUCUCACUGGUGCUAAUCUACAUACACAGAAGAGUUCCACGGUGUUUUCAUGAAUCUAGCAAGUGUAGAGGGAGAGAUUUUUAGGUCUAUGGGUGACGAGCUGACAUCUACAAGGACAUGACCAGUUAAUUACUGCAGUCACAUGCCACCAUCUAAGGUGUCAUAAGUGAGGUGCACCACAAUUUGUUUGUGUGGUCUGUGAUUUUAAGUGGACAAGUAGCUCUGUUCUUGUGCCUUCAGUAAUAGCAACUGAUUCACGGAUCUGAAGGCCACCAUGUUAGACCUUGAAACAAAACCUCACAAGGAAAGAGAAGUGUUUUUCUGAUCAUUUUUAAAUUAGACUUUAAUGAUUUAUUGCUCAUCUGCAAGGAUUAAUAUUGCAUCCAUUAAAAAUCAUUCAUAUACAAAAUAAACCUAUCUCACCCGGAUUGGUGCUAACAUGCUCCCUCUGACAGAAUCAAGGCUUCUCUAGGCAUAAGACCAAUUGUUCCCCUGUGUCUUUUUCUUUACAUGGCUUAUACAGAGAUGGAGCCCUUAAGCUAUGAUUCCUAUUGACACUGUAACACUGAGACAGACAAAUGGAACAGAGGGGCCCCUCCCAACAGUCAUGACAGAGAACAUUUAAGAUGGUACAUAAACUCUGUUUGGCUUAGAGUGGGAGAACCAAGCCUGCUCUGGGAUACUAGAACUUCUAUGCGAGCAGGAAGUGCAGAGGGAGAAAGAAAGCCGGGAGUUGUGGCAUGGGGGCAAACCCCCUGGACUGGAGCAAUGAUUGAGCGGGAGCUUCCCUGUGCUCCUGGCCAUGUCCUCUUCCCUGAGCAAGGAAAGGAGAGCAGGGCCCCCAAAAGAUCCUGGGCUCAACACUCCAAACCCAGCUGCAUCUUGCUGGAAAUUCAGGUUAUGAGGGGCAGAGGGGGGGAGUACAUGGGCGGACUCGGUAAGGUCAUUGGGAACCAGCCCUGGCAGUCUGAGUCAGCCCAAUGCAGCAGUGAGUCAAUGAGAAACCAAGAAUCUAUCAAGGAGGGGGGGCAAGAAAGAAGAUGAUCAAGGAGCUGGGCAAGCUUGUGAAGAAGAGUCUGGAGGAAUAAGGGGGAAUUAUUGGAAGUGCUGGAAGGUUUUGGAGGAUGAAAUCUUAAUCCCGCCCCUGUUAUCAGAAAGGAGCUAUUUGCUCCCAGAGAGGGCAAGCAGCCGGGGUCGCCCAUAAACACACACAGGGAGGUUCCUCAGACGUGGUGCUAGGAAUGGAUCUUGUGUACUUGGGCGAGGGUGAAAAGGGAGCACAGGGUUGGUCAAGGGUGUUUGCUAUACCCAGCUGCAGCGUCUCGAUUGUCUUUGUACCUGUACAUUCGUGAAGUGCUGGACUGACGCCAUAUACUCAGCAGAAACACCCUUGUUAGCUGGAGCUGGGCCUUUAGGCCACUGCAGCUGAAACUCCUUCCCUUUUACAUGUCACUGAGCAAUGAAUUGGAAUCUGGAUUGUUGUGCUGUGCUCUUUGUUGAGCUAAGCCUGGAACACAGGCCUGAAAACCAUGGGGCAUCAGGCCCUUCCACAGUGGGACCGUAACGUCGUGAACCAGAUGAAAUAAGACAACCUGCCACCUUCUGGGCUGGGGAAGGAAGAGGUGAUUGGCUGACCGCUUUAGAAGACAGCAGUGCAGCUGGCCAGGGAUUCCACCUCCCACAGUCAUUGGCUCUGAGUGGAGCCAAGUGCUUUACAGAAUGGUCCACUGACUGGACGAUUUUGAUUUCAACAUGACAGCUCGCCGGUAAAGCUGAUGGAAAAGUUGCUAUGUCAUCAGAACAUCCUCUGCACGUUAAGGGGACAGGAGCAGAAAGGGUCAUCUGUGUUCAACACACGGAGGAGUUCACGGGAGGUGUCAUAUGCUGGCCCCUCUCUGGCCAGGCCUGCCCAUGGCUGAACGGGCUGCUGCAUGCUCUCAGCUGCCCGACUAUUCCACAGAGUUCCCACUUGGAAACACUUUCUCCUUUGAAACAACAUUUUAGACUCGGAAAAGAAAAGAAAAGAAAAAUGGUCUGAAGUCAAAUAAGAUGCAGUUUAAAACCUAGGAAGGACAAGGAGUCUGAUGGGUAGGUGAUCCCCAUUCAGAUUCAGACUAGCACCCUGAAAUAGACUAGUUAACACCCACCUGGGCUUAUCUGUACCAGGCACCAUGCCACCUUCCUAAGUUCACAUAGGAAACCCGGUCUGGGGUCACACACCUUUACCCUAACUGGCCACUAGGUGCCACUCUGCUCCAACACAGGGAUAGGAGCAUUGCUCUAGCAGCUAAAAACUGGGCUCAUUAAGGCAAUUUAGAAGUUGCAGAUAAUUCCACACAGAAAAAAAAAACAAACAGUACAGUAUCUCAGUGUUUGCAAAUAUCCUGACUAAGGUACACU